UACGGAGGUGGCGAGCGUUGUCCGAAGUUACUGGGCGUAAAGCGCGCGUAGGCGGGGGGUUAAGUGAGAAGUGAAAGGCUGGGGCUCAACUCCAUGCAGUGCUUCUCAUACUGGUCUUCUUGAGGGGGGUAGAGAGAAGUGGAAUUUCCGGUGUAGCGGUGAAAUGCGUAGAGAUCGGAAGGAACACCCGUGGCGAAGGCGGCUACCUGGACAGAUACUGACGCUGAGGCGCGAGAGCGUGGGGAGCAAACAGG
rnacentral:rRNA from 1 species